rnacentral:rRNA from 1 species
GACGAACGCUGGCGGCGUGCUUAACACAUGCAAGUCGAACGGAAAGGCCCUGCUUUUGUGGGGUGCUCGAGUGGCGAACGGGUGAGUAACACGUGAGUAACCUGCCCUUGACUUUGGGAUAACUUCAGGAAACUGGGGCUAAUACCGGAUAGGAGCUCCUGCUGCAUGGGGGGGGUUGGAAAGUUUCGGCGGUUGGGGAUGGACUCGCGGCUUAUCAGCUUGUUGGUGGGGUAGUGGCUUACCAAGGCUUUGACGGGUAGCCGGCCUGAGAGGGUGACCGGCCACAUUGGGACUGAGGUACGGCCCAGACUCCUACGGGAGGCAGCAGUGGGGAAUAUUGCACAAUGGGCGGAAGCCAGAUGCAGCAACGCCGCGUGCGGGAUGACGGCCUUCGGGUUGUAAACCGCUUUCGCCUGUGACGAAGCGUGAGUGACGGUAAUGGGUAAAGAAGCACCGGCUAACUACGUG